GACGAACGCUGGCGGCGUGCUUAACACAUGCAAGUCGAGCGGUAAGGCUCCUUUGGGAGUACACGAGCGGCGAACGGGUGAGUAACACGUGAGCAAUCUGCCCUUCACUUCGGGAUAACUCCGGGAAACCGGUGCUAAUACCGAAUACGACCACUUCAGGCAUCUGAUGGUGGUGGAAAGUUCCGGCGGUGAAGGAUGAGCUCGCGGCCUAUCAGCUUGUUGGUGGGGUAAUGGCCCACCAAGGCAACGACGGGUAGCCGGCCUGAGAGGGUGACCGGCCGCACUGGGACUGAGACACGGCCCAGACUCCUACGGGAGGCAGCAGGUGGGGAAUAUUGGACCAAUGGGCGAAAGCCUGAUCCAGCAACGCCGCGUGAGGGA
rnacentral:rRNA from 1 species